rnacentral:tRNA from 1 species
ACGCCCGUGGCUCAACCGGACAGAGCACCUGUCUACGAAGCAGGGGGUUGCAGGUUCGAAUCCUGCCGGGCGUG